rnacentral:rRNA from 1 species
AUUGAACGCUGGCGGCACGCCUAACACAUGCAGUCGAGCGGUAACAUGAUUGGUGCUUGCACCAAUUGAUGACGAGCGGCGGACGGGUGAGGAACACGUAGGAACCUACCCAGAAGAGGGGGACAACCAGAGGAAACUUUGGCUAAUACCGCGUAAUCUCUUUUGAGGAAAGCUGCUCAGCAAUGGGUGGUGCUUUUGGAGGGGCCUGCGUCCGAUUAGCUUGUUGGUGAGGUAAUAGCUCACCAAGGCGAUGAUCGGUAACUGGUCUGAGAGGACGACCAGUCACACUGGGACUGAGACACGGCCCAG